rnacentral:tRNA from 1 species
GGUAAGUUGCUGUGGAGUUAGAAGACUUUGAAAGUCUUUAAGAAGGGUUCGAGUCCCUUAUUUACCU